GAUGAACGCUGGCGGCGUGCCUAAUACAUGCAAGUCGAGCGAACAGACGAGGAGCUUGCUCCUCUGACGUUAGCGGCGGACGGGUGAGUAACACGUGGAUAACCUACCUAUAAGACUGGGAUAACUUCGGGAAACCGGAGCUAAUACCGGAUAAUAUAUUGAACCGCAUGGUUCAAUAGUGAAAGACGGUUUUGCUGUCACUUAUAGAUGGAUCCGCGCCGCAUUAGCUAGUUGGUAAGGUAACGGGUUACCAAGGCGACGAUGCGUAGCCGACCUGAGAGGGGGAUCGGCCACACUGGAACUGAGACACGGUCCAGACUCCUACGGGAGGCAGCAGUAGGGAAUCUUCCGCAAUGGGCGAAAGCCUGACGGAGCAACGCCGCGUGAGUGAUGAAGGUCUUCGGAUCGGAAAACUCUGUUAUUAGGGAAGAACAAAUGUGUAAGUAACUAUGCACGUCUUGACGGUACCUAAUCAGAAAGCCACGGCUAACUACGUG
rnacentral:rRNA from 1 species